rnacentral:rRNA from 1 species
UACGGGGGGAGCAAGCGUUGUUCGGAUUUACUGGGCGUAAAGGGCGCGUAGGCGGCCACCGCAAGUCAAUUGUGAAAUCUCCGGGCUUAACCCGGAACGGUCAAGUGAUACUGUCGUGCUAGAGUACAGAAGGGGCAACUGGAAUUCUCGGUGUAGCGGUGAAAUGCGUAGAUAUCGAGAGGAACACCUGCGGCGAAGGCGGGUUGCUGGGCUGAUACUGACGCUGAGGCGCGAAAGCCAGGGGAGCGAACGGG